rnacentral:rRNA from 1 species
UACGUAGGGGGCAAGCGUUGUCCGGAAUCAUUGGGCGUAAAGAGCUCGUAGGCGGCUUGUCGCGUCGUCCGUGAAAACCCACAGCUCAACUGUGGGCUUGCGGUCGAUACGGGCAGGCUAGAGUUCGGUAGGGGAGACUGGAAUUCCUGGUGUAGCGGUGAAAUGCGCAGAUAUCAGGAGGAACACCGGUGGCGAAGGCGGGUCUCUGGGCCGAUACUGACGCUGAGGAGCGAAAGCGUGGGGAGCGAACAGG